rnacentral:lncRNA from 1 species
CAGAUACUCUCUUCCCUUCUCGACCCAUAGACAAAAUCCUCCCAGGGAAGGAGAGGCAGCUGCUCACACACCAAAGGGAGAUGAAUGUGAGCCUCUGGUUCUUCCUGGAUUUGUUCAGGAGUCGGCAUAUGUUUAGGAAGGUGGCCAGGCCCCCUUCCCAGAGAAUGACCCACCAUGGGUCUGAGCUGGUCCAGGAAAUCCACCUUUGCUAGUGAUUUGUCCUGAGGCUGACAGGACAUCCAACCCUCUGGCUAUGGCAUCUUGGAGGAACAGGCAGGCCUUGAAAAUAGCAGAAAUUCCGAAUUCCCCUGCCCCGGGAGGACUCAAAGGACCCUGCUGAGGACAGAGCUGAUAUGGCCUCAGAAUAAAGAUGAGGGAAGACCAUCCCAAGGAAGACCCCUCUAGCCCAUGGCAAAAGGGCUGGAAUACGCAAGGAUUUGAAAAGCAAGUUUUGCUUUCCAUAUAAACCUAAGCAAGUCGCUUAAUCUGUGAGCCUCAACUACUUUACUUGUGCAAUGGGCAUGUUGCUGGUAGUGGUGAUAGCAGGGAGCCACCGAGAGAGCUUCCAAGUGUGCCAUCUAAGCCCUCCUCUGGGGAAGGGAAGCUCCUCUGGGGAAGGGAAACUGGACCCCCGGGAAAAUUUAUUCUCCCAGGGACGAACAUCCAGACAUUUCCCUGUAGGAGCCUCAGUGUGUUCAGAUGUUCACUGUCCAGUAGAAACAAGACAUCUAGGCAACUCUCCCAUCUCACCAAGCCUCUGCUCUCUUCUGUGGCCACUGUGGGGUUGUGAGAGUAAUGUCAAGACCCAACCCAAUUAGAACACAGGGAAUUUUGCCUGGGAAAGGGAGCCCUUCUACCCUACACCCCUGCUUUCUCUCUUCCAAGGAUCAGGUCUGAUUCAUGUCUGCAUCCUAAAGGCUACAAAUAAACUGUGUCCGGAAAGGAAA